rnacentral:rRNA from 1 species
UACGAAGGGGGCUAGCGUUGUUCGGAAUAACUGGGCGUAAAGCGCACGUAGGCGGAUUGUUAAGUCAGAGGUGAAAUCCCGGGGCUCAACCCCGGAACUGCCUUUGAUACUGGCAAUCUUGAGUCCGAGAGAGGUGAGUGGAAUUCCGAGUGUAGAGGUGAAAUUCGUAGAUAUUCGGAGGAACACCAGUGGCGAAGGCGGCUCACGGGCUCGGUAAUGACCAUGAGGUGCGAAAGCGUGGGGAGCAAACAGG